CGCAGAUCUCAGCUAUUAUGCACACUAAAAUCAGAGUUGAACCCGAUUAAGGCAAUACUCCAACUAGGGAAGUUCUUAUGUAAACAGCUUUUUGAUUAUCUUAAUUGUGGAAAGAAAAGCUCAUGCAGGAAUGCACUGGCUGAAUUAUUGCAGGGUACUAGUCAAUAGAUUUUUCUUCUCUUGUGGACAAAAAACGCACUCGCAACAGGGUAGCCUGUUGUAUGCGCACCUGCCAUUAAUCACCACUUAAGCGCAGAAAAACAGCUCUCGGCUCCCUUCAAAUGCGCACUAAUAACCCGAGCUGAACCCGAUUAAGGCAAUACUGCAACGAGGGAAAAUUCUUCUGUGUACCACUUUUAUUAUAUUCAUUAUGGGGAGUCCAAACAUGCUUGUGUUGAAAUCGUUAUGUCACUAUUGUAUAGCAAAACGCCGAUCAAAGCAGCACAGGAAAGAACAUGUCCAUGCAUUACCAUAAUAUGUAGAUUGUUUACAUAUCUUUGAUUAUGAAUUCGUUGUAUUGCACUUCCUAUUUCUCCAGGUUAGCGAAUCAAUAGGUGUCACCGUAAUCUUAAUUUGAUUUUGUAUUUGUAUUAUUUAUUUAUUUAUUAUGCAUGUUUAAACUGAGCCCAACUUUGUUUGCAGGACGCUGUAGUUUACGGGGGUGUGCAUCAGUGGAAUUGGUGCAGGGAGCUACAGGUGAAGGGUUUGCUUCUCUCUGCUGGACAAAAAAUGGCAUUACAGCAGAGCAAGUCGGGUUUAAAAAGUUCUGCACUCCUUCGUUAUGAUCAAAAAUAUUUUUUGUAUGAAGAUUUUUAAUGCUGCGCACAAUUCAGAAUAAUAAAUAUCUACUGAAAUUAA